rnacentral:lncRNA from 1 species
UAGACAUAUUGGUUCAGUUGGUUUUUAUUUACUGGGAUAAAUGUGAUUUUGGUAAAUGAAUUAAAGGACUUAUGGUUUUCUUUGAGAUGAAAACGGUUUUCUACCCCUCGUGGUAGCGUGUUUUAAAGAAAAAGAGUUUCUGUGUGGGAAACGAUUUUGAAAAAGUUUUUAUUGGUUUUCAUAAUUCUUAGUGUUUCAAAAUGAGUUUUCGGGCAGGAAACAUUUUAAACUAAUAGUUGUAAAUUUAUGAAUACCUGUGUUGAAAUGAAUGGUAAAUGUGAUGUAGUUAUGUAUGUGAAUGUUCAUACUAUUGUGGUUGUAUCUUGUACUUGUGCGACGCCGUGCAAAUACAGGGGAGACUCUGUCCGUGUGAAUAGUAGAUACUCUGUAUUUAUGAUGGAUCUGACAUCCUCUGGGGUCAA